rnacentral:rRNA from 1 species
AUUGAACGCUGGCGGCAUGCUUUACACAUGCAAGUCGAACGGUAACAGGCCUUCGGGUGCUGACGAGUGGCGAACGGGUGAGUAAUGCAUCGGAACGUACCCAGAGGUGGGGGAUAACGCAGCGAAAGCUGUGCUAAUACCGCAUGUGAUCUGAGGAUGAAAGCGGGGGACCGCGCAGCAAUGUUUGGCCUCGCGCCUUUGGAGCGGCCGAUGUCGGAUUAGCUAGUUGGUGGGGUAAAGGCCUACCAAGGCGACGAUCCGUAGCUGGUCUGAGAGGACGAACAGCCACACUGGGACUGAGACACGGCCCAGACUCCUACGGGAGGCAGCAGUGGGGAAUUUUGGACAAUGGGCGCAAGCCUGAUCCAGCAAUGCCGCGUGCGGGAAGAAGGCCUUCGGGUUGUAAACCGCUUUUGGCAGGAACGAAACGGUGUCCGCUAAUACCGGGCGCUAAUGACGGUACCUGCAGAAUAAGCACCGGCUAACUACGUG